CCAAAAUAUGGCUGACUCCAAAACCCAAAGCUGCUGCUACCUUUACCCAAUAACACCACCAAGAAAUUACAACCAGAAAUUACAAUGACAGAAUUGUUUCCUAAGUACAGGGGAUCAGCUCUGGGGUCAGAAGCUCUGGAUUUUAAUUAUGCUUCUAUUGAGUGGUGGUUUCCUCCAAAUUAAUGGAGAUGAAAAUAGUAUUUAACCUCGUAAGGUUGAGGUGAGAAGUAUAUAAAAAAGCCAUAGUGAAAGCACUUGCAAAACAAGUAAGCACUAUUUGUAUGUUAUUAUUCCCUUCCUCUUCACGCUUCAGCUGGGAACUGCAUCAGAGGAAUCCACCCACAGGGCAGAGAAUUACCUUCUGGAGGCCUGAGCAACACAAACCCUGGCACCCAAGAGAAUGAAACUUAAGGGGUAAGGAGAGGAGAGGACUUGGCCACCAUCUCUCUUCAGUGUAACUUCUCUACCGCUAGAGAAAUAAAAUAACUGUUGUGGGCCAGCUCUGCCAGGCACAGCCACAGUUUGCUAGGCAAGCUGCUGGUCCCAGUUCCUCAACCAUGUGAGAAUGGAUGGAAGCCCUGCCCUCAGGUUGAGCCCUGAUAGAGGCUCCCAGCAAAGGUUUCCGGAACCGGUUUCAAGUGGGCCUGGAGGAAAGAGAGAAGUCAGUAGGAGCAGAAGAAAAGGUGGAGUGGACUUAGAGCAUUCAAGAGGGGCAGAGGCGGAGUCUCAGCCCAGCAGGACAGGGGAAGACAAGCUGGGAAAAAAAGGUCAAGAUAAGGUCACAAGGUGACCUCCAGGUAACCAGUGGUGAUGCUGACCAGAGAGGUCUGAUGGAGCAAUGAAGCACAUGAGCAAAGGAGAUCCUGUUUAAUAUGUGUGGCCACGAUUCUUAUACAGUAUUUGCCAUGACUGAAAAGCACAUAAUUUCUGUGGAUUCAUGAUACAUGGGAGUCCAGAAAGACUAGUCCAAGAGAAGUGUGUGACAAAUACAACUGAGUGAGCAGGCCCCUCACUCAUCACUACACAUCUGCUGAAACAGCGCAAAGCCAAGGUCUUUCCAACGAAAAGUGGCUCUAGUGACAAUCAGUUAAACUGAAGACUAUAGAAGACCUUACCCGGAGAAGCAGCUAAUGCAGAGACCUCUCUGCUGGACAUCUCCCUUCAACAGAGUGCUUUUCUGUGCUUUAGUGGUUCCGUUUUAACCAAACUCAGGCUGUUUCUCACCAUGCAGCGCGAUCGGGUUUCCCCUGGGAAGUGGUUCUGUGAACCACUAAGUCUGACUGUCUAAAAAUUCCUCCUUCAAAAAACAGUCAAGUUUCCUUUAUCUCAUGUUAUUCUCCUCUUCUGUUUGGUUUUGUACCACCACUUUCCACUUCAACAAAUUAAUUUCCUGCCUAGAGACACAUCCCGGCAAAUGUGUCAGUUUGUAUUGUUUAGAUGAGAGACUUCUGUCAUUCUUUCAAAUUUUUCCUCUGCACCAAUAAUCCUGGGAGCCAGCCUCUCAAGAGCCUGAGUGGCUUGUCUAUGAAUUUCCUUUCACUGCCUCCUAGUAGACUGAAAAAAUGCAGACUGCCUGCAGUGAACUUACUCAACUCUUGUCCCUUCCACUCACAUCUUUUUCUAUUUCCCCGUCCUUUAUUCUAGUCUGGCUGAAGGAGAGCUCUUGAGGAGUUCAAAGCUAAACCACUCUCCACCGGAUUGUUAAUCUAUCCCUGUCCCCAUGAGACUUUGUACUCAUGCCCUCCUUGCUUUUGCUGCUUUCACAUGACACCCUCCACCUGGCUAUCACAGCAUGCCUCUCCUGGUUCGAUUCCUUGAAAGGCUGGGCUAAAGGGCCACCUGUGGUUCAUCCCCUCCCUUGUAAUCCUUAGUUUUUUGCAUGCUGGAUUCCAUUUCUAUUGGGCUACUGAAACUGUGCAAGGUUCACACACAAAUGAUCUGGCAACUGGCUGGACCAGGGGCAGUUUCUUAGACCCAUCCUUGUAAGGGGUCUGUUGCACCAGAUGGCAAGGACAGUCUCCUUGCGUUGGGUGUGCUUCUUCCCUUGCUACCACCAUCUUCCCCUUCUCUGAUGGUUCCUGCUCUACUACCUCUACUACUACCUCAGUAAAUUUCUUGAGGCUGAUCAUGUCUAAAUGUCAAGAGUUCCUUGAAGGUUGUGUACUUGCUUCUUUUUUUAUUCUGUAUCUUCUUCAAAAUAGGUGGAGGGGAUUGAGAGAUACAAACCUCCGGUUGGUAAAAUAAAUCACACAAAUUAGAAGUACCAGCAGAGGGAAUAUGGUCAAUAUAUUGUAAUAACACUGUAUGGUGACAGAUGGGAACUACCUAUUGUGGUGAGCAUUGCAGAUGUACAGAACUGUCGAAUCACUACGGUGUGCAGCUGCAAUUAAUAUAACAUUGUAGGUCAACUAGCAGUAAAUUUAAAAAUAAAAAUCAUUGGGAAUAUUUGAUAUAUUGUACACAGCAUAACAAAGACCAAAUAACUAAAUUUUCAAUUUCCCUUUUUUAGAUUCUGAAGUAUUUUAUGGUUUGUUGUAUUUCAGCAGAUUACAGGCAUUUCUCUAAGAUUUCCAAAGGUAAAUCAAAUGCAAGAUGAACUGUACUCAAAACUUAUCCAUAAUAGAGGACUUAUUUUCUUGAUAUUAGAAACUUUCAGGGG